UACGAAGGGGGCUAGCGUUGUUCGGAAUUACUGGGCGUAAAGGGCGCGUAGGCGGUCCGGUAAGUCAGCUGUGAAAGUCCAGGGCUCAACCCUGGGAUGCCGGUGGAUACUGUCGGGCUCGAGUCCGGAAGAGGCGAGUGGAAUUCCUGGUGUAGCGGUGAAAUGCGCAGAUAUCAGGAGGAACACCAGUAGCGAAGGCGGCUCGCUGGGCCAUUCCUGACGCUGAGACGCGAAAGCUAGGGGAGCAAACGGG
rnacentral:rRNA from 1 species